AUUGAACGCUGGCGGCAGGCCUAACACAUGCAAGUCGAACGAGUGGCGGACGGGUGAGUAAUGUCUGGGAAACUGCCUGAUGGAGGGGGAUAACUACUGGAAACGGUAGCUAAUACCGCAUACCAUCAGAUGUGCCCAGAUGGGUUUAGCUAGUUGGUGGGGUAACGGCUCACCAAGGCGACGAUCCCUAGCUGGUCUGAGCGGGUGACCGGCCAAACGGGAACUGAGACAUGGGCCAGACGCCUACGGGAGGCCGCAGUGGGGAAUAUUGCACAAUGGGCGCAAGCCUGAUGCAUCCAUGCCGCGUGUAUGAAGAAGGCCUUCGGGUUGUAAAGUACUUUCAGCAGGGAGGCGUUACCCGCAGAAGAAGCACCGGCUAACUCCGUGCCAGCAGCCGCGGUAAUAC
rnacentral:rRNA from 1 species